AAAUUGAAGAGUUUGAUCAUGGCUCAGAUUGAACGCUGGCGGCAGGCCUAACACAUGCAAGUCGAACGGUAACAGGAAACAGCUUGCUGUUUCGCUGACGAGUGGCGGACGGGUGAGUAAUGUCUGGGAAACUGCCUGAUGGAGGGGGAUAACUACUGGAAACGGUAGCUAAUACCGCAUAAUGUCGCAAGACUAAAGAGGGGGACCUUCGGGCCUCUUGCCAUCGGAUGUGCCCAGAUGGGAUUAGCUAGUAGGUGGGGUAACGGCUCACCUAGGCGACGAUCCCUAGCUGGUCUGAGAGGAUGACCAGCCACACUGGAACUGAGACACGGUCCAGACUCCUACGGGAGGCAGCAGUGGGGAAUAUUGCACAAUGGGCGCAAGCCUGAUGCAGCCAUGCCGCGUGUAUGAAGAAGGCCUUCGGGUUGUAAAGUACUUUCAGCGGGGA
rnacentral:rRNA from 1 species